rnacentral:miRNA from 1 species
AAGCCCUUACCCCACUGCUUAAU